GCGGCGCGAGCGGUCGGCGGCGCCGGAGGCAGUGUCUCCUGGUCGCGCGUGGAGGUCGGUCGCUCAGAGCUACUGGGCGCAGUUUCUCCGCCUGCUGCUUCGGCGCGGCUGUGUCGGCGAGCGAGCGAGUUCCCGCGAGUUCUCGGUGGCGCUCCCCGCUCAUCUCAGUCUCCACGGACUGGCCCCUCGUCCUUCUACUUGACCGCUCCCCUCUUCCGCCGCCUUCUGGCGCUUUCCGUUGGGCCGAUUCCCGCCCGCUUCCUCCUGCUUCCCAUCGAAGCUCUAGAGAUGAAUGUUUCCAUCUCUUCAGAGAUGAACCAGAUUAUGAUGCAUCAUUAUCACAGAAGAAAUUCGUGUCUAUAGCUUUUAAGGACUUGAUUACAUCAUUUUCAAGCCUGAUAGUCUUGGAAUCACCAUUAGAGCUUAAGACACACCUGCCUUCAUUUCAACCACCUGUCUUCAUACCCUGACGAAGUGCACCUUUUAACACUCCUUUGUCCUUGGAUUACUUAAGAGUUCCCAGAAAUACAUUUGCCACCAACAGAGUAGCCAAAUUUAUAAGGAAAAAUGAUUCCCAAUGGAUAUUUGAUGUUUGAGGAUGAAAAUUUUAUUGAGUCUUCUGUUGCCAAAUUAAAUGCCCUGAGGAAAAGUGGCCAGUUCUGUGAUGUUCGACUUCAGGUCUGUGGCCAUGAAAUGUUAGCACACAGAGCAGUGCUAGCUUGCUGCAGUCCCUAUUUAUUUGAAAUCUUUAAUAGUGAUAGUGAUCCUCAUGGAAUUUCUCAUGUUAAAUUUGAUGAUCUCAAUCCAGAAGCUGUUGAAGUCUUGUUGAAUUAUGCCUACACUGCUCAGUUGAAAGCAGAUAAGGAAUUGGUAAAAGAUGUUUAUUCUGCAGCAAAAAAGCUGAAGAUGGAUCGAGUAAAGCAGGUUUGUGGUGAUUAUUUACUAUCUAGAAUGGAUGUUACCAGCUGCAUCUCUUACCGAAAUUUUGCAAGUUGUAUGGGAGACUCCCGUUUGUUGAAUAAGGUUGAUGCUUAUAUUCAGGAGCAUUUGUUACAAAUUUCGGAAGAGGAGGAGUUUCUUAAGCUUCCAAGGCUAAAGUUGGAGGUAAUGCUUGAAGAUAAUGUUUGCUUGCCCAGCAAUGGCAAAUUGUAUACAAAGGUAAUCAACUGGGUGCAGCGUAGCAUCUGGGAGAAUGGAGACAGUCUGGAAGAGCUGAUGGAAGAGGUUUAUUAACAAAACUAGGAUACCCAAGACUGAAGAAACAAGAAGAAACCUCAAGUGUAUUGACACGUAAAGAAGCAGCAGUCCUGCCCCAGUUCUCCUAAGAAAAAUCCGCUGUGGGCAGAGAACGAUGAUGAUUUAAUGGUUCAAACCUUGUACUACUCAGCUGAUCACAAGCUGCUUGAUGGGAACCUACUAGAUGGACAGGCUGAGGUGUUUGGCAGUGAUGAUGACCACAUUCAGUUUGUGCAGAAAAAGCCACCACGUGAGAAUGGCCAUAAGCAGAUAAGUAGCAGUUCAACUGGAUGUCUCUCUUCUCCAAAUGCUACAGUACAAAGCCCUAAGCAUGAGUGGAAAAUCGUUGCUUCAGAAAAGACUUCAAAUAACACUUACUUGUGCCUGGCUGUGCUGGAUGGUAUAUUCUGUGUCAUUUUUCUUCAUGGGAGAAACAGCCCACAGAGCUCACCAACAAGUACUCCAAAACUAAGUAAGAGUUUAAGCUUUGAGAUGCAACAAGAUGAGCUAAUCGAAAAGCCCAUGUCUCCUAUGCAGUACGCACGAUCUGGUCUGGGAACAGCAGAGAUGAAUGGCAAACUCAUAGCUGCAGGUGGCUAUAACAGAGAGGAAUGUCUUCGAACAGUCGAAUGCUAUGAUCCACAUACAGAUCACUGGUCCUUUCUUGCUCCCAUGAGAACACCAAGAGCCCGAUUUCAAAUGGCUGUACUCAUGGGCCAGCUCUAUGUGGUAGGUGGAUCGAAUGGCCACUCAGAUGACCUGAGUUGUGGAGAGAUGUAUGACUCAAACAUAGAUGACUGGAUUCCUGUUCCAGAAUUGAGAACUAACCGUUGUAAUGCAGGAGUGUGUGCUCUGAAUGGAAAAUUAUACAUCGUUGGAGGCUCUGAUCCAUAUGGUCAAAAAGGACUGAAAAAUUGUGAUGUAUUUGAUCCUGUAACAAAGUUGUGGACAAGUUGUGCUCCUCUUAACAUUCGGAGACACCAGUCUGCGGUCUGUGAGCUUGGUGGUUAUUUGUACAUAAUCGGAGGUGCAGAAUCUUGGAAUUGUCUGAACACAGUAGAACGAUACAAUCCUGAAAAUAAUACCUGGACUUUAAUUGCACCCAUGAAUGUGGCUAGGCGAGGAGCUGGAGUGGCUGUUCUUAAUGGAAAACUGUUUGUAUGUGGUGGCUUUGAUGGUUCUCAUGCCAUCAGUUGUGUGGAAAUGUAUGAUCCAACUAGAAAUGAAUGGAAGAUGAUGGGAAAUAUGACUUCACCAAGGAGCAAUGCUGGGAUUGCAACUGUAGGGAACACCAUUUAUGCAGUGGGAGGAUUCGAUGGCAAUGAAUUUCUGAAUACGGUGGAAGUCUAUAACCUUGAGUCAAAUGAAUGGAGCCCCUAUACAAAGAUUUUCCAGUUUUAACAAAUUUAAGACCCUCUCAAACUAACAGGCUUAGUGAUGUAAUUAUGGUUAGUAGAGGUACACUUGUGAAUAAAGAGGGUGGGUGGGUAUAGAUGUUGCAUACAGCAACACAAAGCUUUUGCAUAUUGCAUAUUAUUAAACAUGCUGUACAUACUUUUUGUGUUUAUUUGGAAAGGAAUGCAAAGAUGAAGGUCUGUUUUGUGUACUUUUAAGACUUUGGUUAUUUUACUUUUUGGAAAAGAAUAAACCAAGAAUUGAUUGGGCACAUCAUUUCAAGAAGUCCCCUCUCCUCCACAUUUGUUUUGCCAAUUUGCACAUUAAAUGACUCUUCCCUCAAAUGUGUAUUAUGGGGUAAAAGGGGUAGGGUUUAAAGAUGUAGACAGUUGGGUUUUUUAAGGGCCCUUUUUCAAUAACUGGAACACUCUAUAACAAAGGAUACUUAUUUAAAUAGAUGACAUUGACUAUUUUUGUUUUUAUUAAAAGGAAGCUUACAUGCCUACCAAUAUUUAAUCUUUUAUGAUUGCCUUUUUAUAACUUUUUAUAUUCUCAGCAGAGUGCUUUACCAAUUGAAGUAAAAUGUGGCAGGUUGGAGUUAUUGAAGCAGAGUAGCAGUCUUCAAGUUUGCAGAGUAGGGAUCUGUCUUUUAAACUCUGAGUGCAAACUUCAGAGCUCUUGCCUUGGCUGCAGUUUUUUUCCUUCAAGAAUGCAGUACUAACAUUUAUUUGAGUGGAGUUACUGAACAGUAACAUAGCUGUGAUUUUUGGUAUUUGAAACACUGGUUUUAAAUAUUUUGACUUGUUGAGGGUAUGUUUUAUAUAGCAAGACAUUAUAUAGCCGUAAAAAAUGGUGUUUUAUCUCCUAUAUAAUUCCUGUUUUUAUUAUUAACAAAACAGUCCUAAAUAGCAGCCCUCAAUUGUGAAAAAAAUUACUUUAAACUACAUUAGGUUGUGAAUGCAGGUUUUAUCAGAACUAUGUUUUUGUUCAGUUUAUCUGUUCAUAUGGAUAAAUAUUGGUUGGGAUG
rnacentral:sRNA from 1 species